AAUUUGAGCAGUUCAUAGUUAAACCCCUUGAAUAAAAUAAGUUCAUUGAAUAAAAUAAGUUCAUAGUUAACCCCCUUAAACACUAGCAUUUCAUAGUUAACCCCCUUGAAUACUAGCAGUUCAUAGUUAUCCCCCUUGAAUAUUAGCUGUCAUGUAACUAGAUAAUGCCAUAGUAAAGAGCAGAACCAACUGCCACAUCUGUGCAACCUGUCCUAAGAUUGUACACUGAUGGCUCCUUAAUUAAUUAAUUAAUUAAUUAAUUAAUUAAUCAAUCAAUUAAUUAAUUAAUUUAAAUUUAACUCAAUAACAUAUUGACUCCCUAUGAAAUAACAAUGGACAGUUCCUAAUUCAAAGCCAGAUGAGUCUAUUUCACAAAUUUAGCAGUGGAAGCAUUAAAAACUGAUUAUGUAACAAGAGUAUAAUGUUAUACUAAAAAUAAACAGCCAUGUGGAAAUGUAUAAUAUGUAUGUGUGUUGAUUGAUGUAGAUAGUGUAAAUAGAAUGUUUUUAUAUAAGAAAAAGUGCAAUCUCAAAAGUUAAAUAAUUUUAUGUGUCUUGUUUUUGUGUCUCUUGGAAAUUCUUGUUUUAAAUUAAAAGACUAUUAGCUGCUAUACACUUGUUAUAUAAUGAAUUGUUUUCUCCAUGAUUUUUCAUUUUGAACGUAAACUUCUUCCGAUUUUCAUAGAAAGUUGGAUACGCAAAAUCUCUGAAGAUUUGUUAAUAUUUUUAUGGUAUGUUUAAUAAUAAACCACUUUCUGAUUUUUGUAUAACAGGUUUUAUUAUAAAAAAAAAUUUGUAUAAAAUAAAGGCUCUAUCAAGAUUUGACAUUUAAACCUUAAGUUAAUAAAUGUAGCAUUUUUAUGCCACCGCAGCAUCUGCGAUGCGGUGGCAUAUAGCGAUUCACCUGUGUGUGUGUUUGUUUGUGUGUGUGUGUGUUAUAUAGAUUAUAUAGUGAACUUAAAAAAUCUUCUUGUGAAAAACCACUUGUCCAAUUUCAACCAAACUUGGCAGGAUUGAUCCUUGGGUGAAGGGCUUCCAAAGUUGUUCAAAGAAUUUCAUUCCAUGCAGAAAUCUGGUUGCCAUGGCAACCAAUAGGAAUUAUAAGAAUAAAUUUAAAAAAUCUUCUUGUAAAGACCCAAAAGGCCUAGAGCUUAGAUAUUUUGCAUAAGGCAUUGUCUGAUAGACCUCUACCAAGAUUGUUCAAAUUAUAACCCUGGGGUCAAAAUCGGCCCCGCCCCGGGGGUCAUUGAUUUUCACUAUAUGUACAUAUAGUAAAAACUUAAAAUAACUUCUUGUAAAGACCCAAAAGGCCUAGAGCUUAGAUAUUUUGUAUAAGGCAUUGUCUGGUAGACCUCUAUCAAGAUUAUUCAAAUUAUAACCCUGGGGUCAAAAUCGGCCCCGCCCCGGGGGUCAUUGAUUUUCACUAUAUGUACAUAUAGUAAAACUUAAAAUAACUUCUUGUAAAGACCCAAAAGGCCUAGAGCUUAGAUAUUUUGUAUAAGGCAUUCUCUGGUAGACCUCUACCAAGAUUAUUCAAAUUAUAACCCUUGGGUCAAAAUCGGCCCCGCCCCGGGGGUCAUUGAUUUUCACUAUAUGUACAUAUAGUAAAAACUUAAAAUAACUUCUUGUAAAGACCCAAAAGGCCUAGAGCUUAGAUAUUUUGCAUAAGGCAUUGUCUGAUAGACCCUUACCAAGAUUGUUCAAAUUAUAGCCCUGGGGUCAAAAUCGGCCCCGCCCCGGGGGUCAUUGAUUUUCACUAUAUGUACAUACCGGUAUAGUAAAAACUUAAAAUACCUUCUUGUAAAGACCCAAAAGGCCUAGAGCUUAGAUAUUUUGCAUAAGGCAUUGUCUGGUAGACCUCUACUCAGAUUGUUCAAAUUAUAGCCCUGGGGUCAAAAUCGUCCCUGCCCCGGGGGUCAUUGGUUUUCCUUAUAUGUAUAUAGUAAAAACUUUAUAGUAAAAAAAUUUCUUCUAGCAAAUGCUAGAGGUUAGAUAUUUUGCAUGAAACAUUGUGAAGUGAACUUCUAGCAAGAUUGUUCAAAUUAUAGCCCUGGGGUCAAAAUUGCCCCUGCCCCGGGGUCAUUGAUUUUCAAUAUAUACAUAUAGUAAAAAGUAAAAAAAUCUUAUUGUCUUAAGGUACAAGGCUUAGAGCUUGAAUAUUUGUUAAAUGAUAUCAUCUAUAGGUACUCUACCAAAGUUGUUCAAAUUUUGCGUCUUGUGUCAAAAUUAGCCCCGCCCCAUGGGCCAUAGGUUUUCCUUAUGUGUAUAUAGUAAAAACUUAAAAAAUCAUCUUCUCUAAAUUUACAAAGGCUAGAGUUAAGAUAUUUGGCAUGAAACAUUAUGUAGUGAACCUCUAGCAAGAUUGUACACAUUAUAGCCCAGGGGUCAAAAUUGGCCCCACCCCCAGGAGUCAUUGAUUUUCACUAUGUACAUAUAGUAAAAAAAAAAAAGAAAUAUUUUUGUCUGAAGGUACAAGGCAUAGAGCUUUGAUGUUUGCUCUAUAAUAUAUUCUAUGGGUUCUCUACUAAAGUUGUUUUAAUUAUGCCCCUAGUGUUAAAAUUGGCCCUGCCCAGGGGCAGUGAUUCUCAUUAUGUUCACAUAGUAAAAACAGAAAAUAAAACAAAUCUUUUCUGAAUAGGAGAAAGCUACAGCUUAGAUAUUUGACUUGAAAUGUUGUUUGGUGGACCUGUAUCAAGAUUGUUUUGAAUUAAACCCUUGGGUCCAAAAUUUUGCCUUGCCCAAGGGGACAGUGACCUACUUUCUUGUCCUUUGAUGUACAGCAAUGAAAUUUUGACCAUGUGCACAGUUUUAGUUGUAAAAUUGAACUUUGAUAUCAGGUGAACUAGAUUUUGAUGAUGUGACCUUCUUUCUUGUCCUUUGAUGUACAGCUAUGAAAUUUGAACCAUGUGUACAGAUUAAGAUGUUAAGUGAACUUUGAUUUCAGCUGACCUAGAUUUUGACAAAGUGUCUUACUAUGUUGUCCUUUGAUGUAGUCAUGAAAUUUAGGCUGUGUGAAAUAUGACCUUCACCACCAAAUUCACUAGACUCAAGUGCAUUGAUAUAUUCCUACUCUGAUCUUUUAUUGAGUUUAAACAACAGAUUUAACCACUAAUCUGAUAAUAAGAAUUAGAUAGGUCAGGGAUCUAUGCAUUAUGACAAUCUUCAAAAUUGUAUAGAAACAAAGAAAAUCUGUUCCGACACUACUAUUUAGUGUUGUAUUAAUGCGGUGGCAUAGCAUUUUUCUCAAAUGCAAUCUUGUUGUGUAUAAAAUUAUGGAAACAAGUUUUAUACCAGUCUUUUUAAGCUUUUUAUACAUCAUACACUGUUGGUAAAAUAUGAUGUUUUAGAUGAUAUUUAUUAUAUUUUUACAGUUGUUAAUCGAUAGAACAGUUAUUUCUGUAUAAAAUACACAAAUGUGUAACUUUCAUACCAGCUUAGUUCAUGUUUUUUAACAAAAUACAAACCAUAAAAUCUCUAUAUAUAUCGUUUUAAGUAAGGUAGUACAAAUGAGCCGCGUCAUGACAAAACCAACAUAAUGGGUUUGCGACCAGCAUGGAUCCAGACCAGCUUGUGCAUCCGCGCAGUCUGAUCAGGAUCCAUGCUGUCGCUAUCAGUUUCUCUACUUGUUAUAGGGUUGGUAAGCGAACAGCAUGGAUCCUGAUCAGACUGCGCGGAUGCGCAGGCUGAUCAAGGUCCAUGCUGGUCGCAAACCCAUUAUGUUGGUUUUGUCGUGACGCCGCUCAAAUUAUUAUGUAUACUAAUGCUCAUAACUUAUGAAAAUAAUAUUUUCAUUGCAUACAGUAUAGUAUACAAGUUCUGGAGGGUAUCAUGCUGCUUCUUGUAUGUAAUACAAAGUAAUUAUUUUAUAAUCUUAAAGUAAUCAUACUAAAGUAAAGUAAUAUUUUGGUAAUAUAAAGUGAUAUGAGAUAAUUAAUUGGUAAUUUUAAGUGAUAUGAGAUAAUAAUUUGCUAUUUCAAGAGCUACAAGGCAAUUAUUUGAUACAUUUAUGUGAUACAAUCCAUUUAAGUAAUACAAGGUAGUUAUAUGUUACAUGAAAAUAUCGUUUCAUAAAUUUAAAUGAUAUGAAGUAAUUAUUUCAUACAUUUAAGUGAUAUGAGGUGAAUUAUUUUGAGAACAUACAUCAGUUUAGCUUAUUGGGUAAGUCUACAUGAUUUAAGGUUUGUACAAUGUUAAGCAGUACCAUUAAUUAAAUGUUCAUGUAUAAAAUUUGUUUUGCACAGCAUGUAUAUAAUCAUUAGAGAAUACAGAAAGAAUGAUUGUAGAUAUUUACUCUAGAUAAUGUUACUCUUCACUAUGAUAAACAUGCUACAUUCUCAUAUAUGUACAUGGAGAAUAAAAAAUACAAACAGAAUGUCAAAUAUUACAA